AUGUCGUGGCAGACGUACGUUGACGAGCAGCUGCUCUGCGACAUCGACGGCCAGCGCCUCACCGCCGCCGCCAUCCUCGGCCACGACGGCGCCGUCUGGGCGCAGUCCGAGCCCUUCCCCGAGGUCAAACCUGAAGAAAUUACUGCGGUAAUAAAUGACUUCGAUGAACCAGGCUCUUUGGCACCAACUGGAUUAUUCCUUGGUGGUACAAAGUACAUGGUUAUUCAAGGUGAACCUGGGGCUGUCAUUCGGGGCAAAAAGGGGUCAGGAGGGGUUACAAUCAAGAAGACGAGUCUGGCCAUCAUCAUUGGAAUUUACGAGGAACCAAUGACUCCUGGACAAUGCAACAUGGUGGUGGAGAGGCUCGGUGAUUACCUUCUUGAGCAGGGCUUCUGA
rnacentral:rRNA from 1 species